CCUAUCUAUUGGCGGUGGUGACAGUGACAUUCCUUCAUUCAUCCUGCUUACAUUUAAAUACUUUGACUUUUUCAAUAGGUUAGAUUUGUCUCCAAAUCUUAUCCCAACAUGUCACCAUUUCACAGAUUUGUUACGAAAUUUUUACUUAUGUGGAAGAAAACAAACUACAAGGAGUAGCCAAUGGCAGCAAAUUCCCAGUGUUACUAAGCUGUCAGAAGCAGGAAUAAGGUUUGAAACCAACGAAAUUUCACUAUCCUGAUGAUGGCUACAUAACAGAGUAUGCUCUUGUUCUGCAAUACCUAGUAAACACAGGACUUGGAUGCUUCGUAUAAAAGUCGUCGUCUUAAGUUGAAGUCAACUCUCAGACGUGAUUACUGUAAAAGUCCUUGGCAAACCGCUGCUACCGUUGCUGCUAUUGUUGUUCUUAUUCUCUCUUUUGUUCAAACAAUUUGCUCAAUCUGGCAGAUAAAACAAUCUUAGAAUGCUCACGUCCUUCGAAGACCUCAUCAAUCAGUCAACUUCCUUGUUUCUCUAUUUUUUAUUUUAUUUUAUUUUAUUGUAUCCAUCUUCUCUAAUUACUCAUUUCAGAGCAAUUCAAUUCUCCUCUAUAUCGUGUUUGUGUGUUGU